ACCACCUCAGCCUCGAUUCUCGCAUCUUCUCAUCCACCAGGCUCACCCCCACCUUCUCUCAAAUAACUUCAUUCUUAAUCUUAUCUAACCUGGUGAGCCCGCACAUCCACCUGAGCAUCUUCAUCUCCGCAACCUUCAUUCUCUAAAAAUGAGAGUUCUUCACUGGCCAGCACUCCGCCCCUAACAACAUGGCAGGUCUAACCACAGCUCUAUUAAAUUUCCCCUUGAGUUUCUGUUGGAACUUUCUUGUCACACAGGACUCCUGAUGCAAGCCUCCACUUUGACCAUCCCGCUCCUAUACGAUGAGUGACGUCCCCGUCAAUCUCUCCGUCCCCCUGAAUCACCGACCUAAGAUAUAUAACAUUGUCCCUCUUCGCAAUGACCUGAGAUCCAAUCAUC
rnacentral:lncRNA from 1 species